GCCUCGCAUGCGUGCGUGCGUGUGACGCCCAUCCUGCGCACGGCCGUUCCUAGACGCCGACGAAGAAGAAACCGUCCAGUGCCAGGGACCGCCAUCGCGCCGUCCGCCGGUGCCGCGCCGCCCAUCUCCUCCGUCCGCCGUUGCCGCAGCAUCGCCAUCCGAGCACAACGAGGUGACCCCCUCUCCCUUCCUCUCCCUUCUCUCUCCACUCGCACCUACAACCUGCCCCUUGCGCAGCGUGCCCCUGCGCGCGGCCAGCCUUGCCGGCCAGGCACAGUAGCCAGCCGGCCGACAGCGUGAGGCCGAGCCUGCCAGGCCGUCCGAGCCGGCCCCCUAUUCUCUCCCUCCCACGCGCAGCCGAGGCCCCCUCUGUGUGUUGUUCUGAGGAAGAAGAAAGUUUGUUUUGCGAAAACGCCCUCGACGAUAUAGGUAAUAAACAUCCAGGUUGAUGAGUUUCGCAGAAAUAAUUUGCUACACCCUGAAGUCUGCAUUUAAUUAUGCACAAGUCCGUGUAAUGAUCUUGUGCACAUGUUAAAAUUAUUAUGUUGCCACCACACAUGUUUUAGUUGAAUAAUUAAUUAUUGGUUUGUUCGAGGGUUAUUAAAAAUAACAAUUUAAUUAGAAUGAGUCUAUAGUUUUAACUCGUGCUUUUAAAAAUAUAAAUGCUAAUUAACUUGAUUAAUACCAGCUUAAAUACUUUUAAUUAAUUAUUUGUUGGUUGUUGUUCGUGCAUGGCAUCAUUUGCACGUCAUCGUGCAGUUCACGCGUAGUCACGUUGACUCACAUGCUGUCGUGCGCGUUGUUUCCCAUGUCGUCCGCGCGUUGUUUCGCACAGUGUCGCGUGUCAUCACGUGUAGUCGCGUUGACUCGCGCGUUGUUCACGCGCGUCGUUCGCACGUGUGGAUCUCGUCGUCGUCAUGUUGUUCGUGCGUCUGGUUCGUGUGUUAUUCGUGUGUUGUCUCGUGACGUUCGCGUGUAUCGUUUGCGUGCGUCACGUGUGUCAUUUACAUGUGUCGCUCGCAUUAUUGCUCGUAGUUAGCGCGUAUCUCGCGUGUCGAUCACGUGUAUCGCGCAGCGUUUGCGCGUGAUAAUAAAUUGUUUUCGCUUAUAAACACAUAUUAAUAAUGUUAAUUCGUCAGGUCGCAUAUUUUAGAUAAUUAACUUAAGGUUGGCUCGACUAAUAUUUAUUAGACUAAUAUUCUAAUUAGAUUAAAUGUAUAGUGCUCAACUUGCGCUUUAUAAUAAACAUUAACAUGACUAAUAUUAACUUAACUACUUUUGAUUUGUUUAAUAUUUGUUUAGUAUAAAUGCGUCACUUAUUUAGUUUUUCUCGUCUGUCGCGCGUGCUGUUCCACACGUGGUAGCGUGCUGUUCGCGCGUCAUUCGUGCCGAUCGUGCACACUGUUUCGUGUGUUGUCAUUUUGCUAUGUUGUGCGUGUCCACCCGUCAUUCCACACGCUGUCGUGUUGUUUCGCGUAUCGUAAAUCCGCCUCGCUUAGAAUCUCUCGUGUUAAUUAAAUUACUGGUUUAACUGAUAGCUGCUAGUGUAACAUGUUAAUCAAAAAUAAAUGGUAGAUAUUAUUUAUAUUUGAUAAUAUCGAAUUAAAUGUUAUAGUUAAUCUUUAUUUAGUGUAAAUGUGAUAUCUUCUCGACCGUAGCUUCGAGUUCGAUGUUUCUUUUCCUCGUGUAACCGUAGAAGCGAUCUCUAUUUUAUAUUGCUCGCUUUUACAAUAUUUUAUCUUGAAUGGUGUAAUGUUCUUAUACAAGUGUAUGUUUGCUUGUGCAUGUUUAUAUUCGUUGCGCGUCACGAAUAGAUUGUGAUCUGUUCCUGAGCUUCGAGGAAUCGACGAUCAAGGUUUGUUGAACCACUGGUCCUGAGAUCAAGUUCUUCGAGUCCUACGAGGUUGAAGACCCUGAGCAUCUGUUUGGUGAAAGCAAGUGUUCUCUAACCCAUUAUGUCCUAUUUACUUUAUAAUUCACUGUCCCGCGUACUAUGAUGAACCUAAGGAUUGACUAGUUUUUAUUUAUCUUGUCCUUGAUUACCUUUUGGGUUAUUGUGGUUAGCUUCCUGCUAUUGCUUUACUUUAAUCAACGAACAUGAUGAGAACAUUUAUGAUACGAUGAUGCUAUCUUUAUUAUGAUGAUGAACUUGUGAUACUUUAGGGGACUCAGGCUGUUUCCUGAGUUCCUCUCCGUAAGGACCUGUUCAUUAAGUGACCAUCCGGGAAAACAGUGCAACCAUGAGGGUGGUAUGGCCAAGUAAUUAGGGAAGUCUUAUGUUAGGUGCUGGUUUUGGUCAUUGGGAACGGAGACAUCUGUUAUGGCUCCUAUAUCCUCGCUCAGGGAUCUAGGUACGGCGCCGUCCCAUGGCUUUUCCUAAGGGCGGAGGUAUAGGUUUUGGUACAUCAGAUGGUCUCUAUGGUAAUGGUGGCAUCUGUUAUGGCUCCUAUAAUCUCACUCAGGGAUCUAGGCAUGGGUAUCAUCCCACGACUUUUUCCUGAGAGCGGAGGUAUAGGUUUUGGUACGUCAGAUAGUCGCUAUGCAAUGGUCAUUUCCAACAUUCGCAUAGUGAGGACCCUAGGAAAAAGCCACAUAGUAAAACCUUGCCUACUCACCUUGGAAGUGUUUAAGGGUCUGUACAACCCGAGGCAAAAGGGAUAACGACUCAUGGGUAAAGUGUGCAACCUCUGCUAAGUGUUAUGAAACUGAUAUAUCAGUCGUGCUCACGGUUAAGAGCGGCCUCGGGAUCCUCUUUGAUUAGAGAUACUGAUGGUUCGAGAUCCAAUGGUUCUAUUAAUGGUUUUUGGUUCGAUGAUGAUAAUGAUGUUCCUCGAUGAGGAAAUGAUUCACGAGUUGGUUUUGCUAAAACCUGGCUUCUACUAAUAAUAAAUACCUGACAAACUAAAAGCAACUGCUUGACCCUAACUCCACAUAAAGUUAGUCCACCUCAGCCAAACGGGACAUUUGUUGAGUACGUUGAUGUGUACUCACCCUUGCUUUCACAAAACACCAGGUUGCCUUUGGUGCAAUCUAUGCUCAUGUAAAGAAGAGGGUGUCGAGGCGGAUCUUCGGGAGUUCUAGGACUUCGACGAGUUCGAGGAUUAGGCUAGCGACCUCCCCCAGUCAGCUGCAUGUGGUGGGUUUAUUUACUUUGGUUAUGUUUCGAUUCUGUGUACUUUGAUUUAUAUUAUGUAAAUGACUCUAGUCUUUAAUAUCAUUACUUAUUUUUAUUGUUAUUCGAAGCAUUGUGCUAUGAUGAGACAUUUAUGUAAUCGCUGUGUAUGUAAAUUUCUGAUUCUGGCACGUACAUGGUUCGCAUUCGGUUUGCCUUCCAAAAC
rnacentral:lncRNA from 1 species